GUGAAUCAUCAAAUCUUUGAACGCAUAUUGCACUCUCUGGUAUUCCGGAGAGUAUGCCUGUUUGAGGGUAAUUAAAAAGAAUCUUUAACCAAUUUUUUUUUGGUCAAAGGAAAUGAGCUCUCCGCGUUUUUAGCGGUAGCUGAAAUUAAAGGUUCAAGUCUCAUUUUAGUCGAGAGGCGAAAUAAUAUUAUUUCGCGAAAUCUCC
rnacentral:misc_RNA from 1 species